rnacentral:rRNA from 1 species
UACGGGGGGGGCAAGCGUUGUUCGGAAUUACUGGGCGUAAAGAGCUCGUAGGUGGUUUGUCGCGUUGUUCGUGAAAACUCACAGCUCAACUGUGGGCGUGCGGGCGAUACGGGGCAGACUAGAGUACUGCAGGGGAGACUGGAAUUCCUGGUGUAGCGGUGGAAUGCGCAGAUAUCAGGAGGAACACCCGGUGGGCGAAGGCGGCAUCCUGGACCGGGCAU